rnacentral:rRNA from 1 species
UACGGGGGGAGCAAGCGUUGUUCGGAUUUACUGGGCGUAAAGGGCGCGUAGGCGGCCAGCACAAGUCAGUUGUGAAAUCUCCGAGCUUAACUCGGAAAGGUCAACUGAUACUGUGCGGCUAGAGUGCGGAAGGGGCAACUGGAAUUCUUGGUGUAGCGGUGAAAUGCGUAGAUAUCAAGAGGAACACCUGCGGCGAAGGCGGGUUGCUGGGCCGAAAUUGACGCUGAGGAGCGAAAGCGUGGGGAGCAAACAGG